GUAGGUGGCGAGCGUUGUCCGGAAUUAUUGGGCGUAAAGCGCGCGCAGGCGGUUCUUUAAGUCUGAUGUGAAAGCCCACGGCUCAACCGUGGAGGGUCAUUGGAAACUGGAGAACUUGAGUACAGAAGAGGAAAGCGGAAUUCCACGUGUAGCGGUGAAAUGCGUGGAGAUGUGGAGGAACACCAGUGGCGAAGGCGGCUUUUCUGGUCUGUAACUGACGCUGAGGCGCGAAAGCGUGGGGAGCAAACAGGGAUUAGAUACCCUGGUAGUCCACGCCGUAAACGAUGAGUGCUAAGUGUUAGGGGGUUUCCGCCCCCUUAGUGCUGCAGCUAACGCAUUAAGCACUCCGCCUGGGGAGUACGGCCGCAAGGCUG
rnacentral:rRNA from 1 species